AGCAUAUCAAUAAGCGGAGGAAAAGAAAAUAACAAUGAUUCCCUCAGUAACGGCGAGCGAAGAGGGAUAAGCUCAAAUUUUAAAUCUGUUGGGUUUCAACCUAACAGAGUUGUAUUUUGAAGAAACGUUUUCUGCGUCCAGGAUUAGCCUAAAUCCUUUGGGAUAAGGUAUCAUGGAGGGUGAGAAUCCCGUUCAUGGUUAAUCUUAAGGACGUUCUACGAUACGUUCUCCAAGAGUCGAGUUGCUUGGGAUUGCAGCUCAAAAUGGGAGGUAAAUUUCUCCUAAGGCUAAAUAUUGGCGAGAGACCGAUAGCGAGCAAGUACCGUGAGGGAAGGAUGAAAAGAACUUUGAAAAGAGAGUUAAACAGUACGUGAAAUUGUUGAAAGGGAAACGAUUGAAGUCAGUCAUACCAACGGGAAAUCAACCUUUUGAGUUUGUUCUUGUGGGUUUCGAGGAGUUUAAAAGCCUUCGGAUUUGCUAGGAUUGGGCUCUUUUGGUGUACUUUCUCGUACGGUUAGUCAACAUCGGUUUUGAAUGUCAUAAAAUGACUGGAGGAAUGUGGCUUCGAUCUCGCAUCGAAGUGUUAUAACCUUUGGUAGAUGUGAUGUUCGAGACCGAGGAUUGCAACGGAUACCUUCCAGGCUAUUCGUCUGAUCUCUGAUACGUUGCCUUGAUGUCGAGAGCGUGCUUAUGAUGUUAGGGUAUUACGGUCAAAAGGUUAGAACGGAUUAAAUUCGUUAAGGAUGUUGACGUAAUGACUUUAAACGACCCGUCU
rnacentral:rRNA from 1 species